GAAAAAUCAAGACGGUGAAAAUAUAAAUGAAAUAAUUAUACAUGCGAAACGCACCUAAAAAUGGAGAACAUGGUAGAAAUUAAAUGGGCUUCUUGAUAUCGACUAACAGAAACACAACUACAUCCCUUCAUGUGGAUCAAUACUUCGAGAUAUUAUAUACGAAAGGCUAAGAUAUGGCGCCGGUGAUGAAAAAUGUAUGCGAAGCAAAGGGAGUAAAUAUCCGAGAGAACGACGUACAGUCCAAUCCCUUUCCUAAUAUUCCAACUACCUGCACAUAUUGUUAUUUUAAUGACUUUGGUUUGAAGUCUCAUUGACAGCAGUAAAAAAUUCAAUCACAAUUGAAAGAGUUCACUUGGAUUUCUUCCUCAUCUAUGUACA